AUAGAGUCCUAAGAAAAUAAAGCUAGAGAAUACAAAGCAAUGAAAGAGACCAAUUUUACCUGUACUAGAUAGAUGCUUCCAUUAACAUCAGUAGCUAGAGUUCUCCUCUCUCCUUCCAAAUGGAAGACCAUAUUUGUUCUGGAAAUUGCAAAGGUGCCUUGCAGUGGUCACGUUCUGUGUAACAGUGAGGACUCAGUAAAGUUUGCUGGCGGAAGCUUCCGUUCAAGUCUCCUGCCCCUUCCGCGUUCCGGAACCUGCCUCCGCUCAAGUGACAAAUGACAAACAGUUCCAGCCCAGUGGUUCUCUCUCACCACCCCCUUCCCACACACAGUUACUCAGGCAAAAAACAAGCCUCAGACUACAGAUUCUCCCCCAGGGUGGUUUUAAGAUGUCUGACCUCCUCGGACAGAAAGAAGCCCAGGUAACCAGAGUCUGAGUCAGUAAAUACCUGGAGAUAGGAUCGCAGGACGGAUGUCCUACACCGAACCAAGGCGUCCAGAAAUGGUAUCGGAGCUGCGCACGCAUCCCUGGCCUCCCUUCAGAAGGUCUCCUGCAGAGGCGGGGCCUUGGCACUAAGGUUCCCCAAAAUUUUAGGGCUCAUGUUGCUUCCGUUAGGCGGCCCAACAGCGACCUUCUUCCCCUGAAGUCGCGAUACCCACUCCCACUCCGGCAUUUGCACAUUUCCCCUCCACCUUCCCCUGCACACCCUACCCCCUACCCGGCCAGGCAUCCUAUACCUACCUCUCAGUAGGCCCAACCACAAACGGAGCCCCUUAGGGAAAGCUCCGCUCGAUCGCCAUUGCGCAUGUCAUUGGAGGAGGAGCGAGGACACUGCUGGAAGCGAGAUCUGUCCAGAGCUUUUUGAGACCCUCUACCGCCUGAAAGACUCUUCCUGCCCAGCACCUAAUUUGCCUGUCACCACAAACGCAGUUUACGUAUUUCCUUUUAGACUUUAAUAUCCUUUUAUUUUUUUAAUUAUAAACUUGACAAAAAUUAAUAAACACGAAUAUUUCCAUAUACA
rnacentral:lncRNA from 1 species